rnacentral:rRNA from 1 species
GAUGAACGCUGGCGGCGUGCCUAAUACAUGCAAGUCGAGCGAACGGACGAGAAGCUUGCUUCUCUGAUGUUAGCGGCGGACGGGUGAGUAACACGUGGAUAACCUACCUAUAAGACUGGGAUAACUUCGGGAAACCGGAGCUAAUACCGGAUAAUAUUUUGAACCGCAUGGUUCAAAAGUGAAAGACGGUCUUGCUGUCACUUAUAGAUGGAUCCGCGCUGCAUUAGCUAGUUGGUAAGGUAACGGCUUACCAAGGCAACGAUGCAUAGCCGACCUGAGAGGGUGAUCGGCCACACUGGAACUGAGACACGGUCCAGACUCCUACGGGAGGCAGCAGUAGGGAAUCCUCCGCAAUGGGCGAAAGCCUGACGGAGCAACGCCGCGUGAGUGAUGAAGGUCUUCGGAUCGUAAAACUCUGUUAUUAGGGAAGAACAUAUGUGUAAGUAACUGUGCACAUCUUGACGGUACCUAAUCAGAAAGCCACGGCUAACUACGUGCCAGCAGCCGCGGUAAUACGUAGGUGGCAAGCGUUAUCCGGAAUUAUUGGGCGUAAAGCGCGCGUAGGCGGUUUUUUAAGUCUGAUGUGAAAGCCCACGGCUCAACCGUGGAGGGUCAUUGGAAACUGGAAAACUUGAGUGCAGAAGAGGAAAGUGGAAUUCCAUGUGUAGCGGUGAAAUGCGCAGAGAUAUGGAGGAACACCAGUGGCGAAGGCGACUUUCUGGUCUGUAACUGACGCUGAUGUGCGAAAGCGUGGGGAUCAAACAGGAUUAGAUACCCUGGUAGUCCACGCCGUAAACGAUGAGUGCUAAGUGUUAGGGGGUUUCCGCCCCUUAGUGCUGCAGCUAACGCAUUAAGCACUCCGCCUGGGGAGUACGACCGCAAGGUUGAAACUCAAAAGAAUUGACGGGGACCCGCACAAGCGGUGGAGCAUGUGGUUUAAUUCGAAGCAACGCGAAGAACCUUACCAAAUCUUGACAUCCUUUGACAACUCUAGAGAUAGAGCUUUCCCCUUCGGGGGACAAAGUGACAGGUGGUGCAUGGUUGUCGUCAGCUCGUGUCGUGAGAUGUUGGGUUAAGUCCCGCAACGAGCGCAACCCUUAAGCUUAGUUGCCAUCAUUAAGUUGGGCACUCUAAGUUGACUGCCGGUGACAAACCGGAGGAAGGUGGGGAUGACGUCAAAUCAUCAUGCCCCUUAUGAUUUGGGCUACACACGUGCUACAAUGGACAAUACAAAGGGCAGCGAAACCGCGAGGUCAAGCAAAUCCCAUAAAGUUGUUCUCAGUUCGGAUUGUAGUCUGCAACUCGACUACAUGAAGCUGGAAUCGCUAGUAAUCGUAGAUCAGCAUGCUACGGUGAAUACGUUCCCGGGUCU